rnacentral:rRNA from 1 species
UACGGAGGGUGCAAACGUUGCUCGGAAUCAUUGGGCGUAAAGCGCACGUAGGCGGUCCAGCAAGUCGGGUGUGAAAGCCCUCGGCUUAACCGAGGAAGUGCAUUCGAAACUACUGGGCUUGAGUACUGAAGAGGAUCGCGGAAUUCCCGGUGUAGAGGUGAAAUUCGUAGAUAUCGGGAGGAACACCGGUGGCGAAGGCGGUUCUCUGGGCCUGACCUGACGCUGAGGAGCGAAAGCGUGGGGAGCGAACAGG